GGCUGGGAUAGCUCAGCUGGUAAAGCAUGAGACUGCUAACCCCAGGGUCAUGGGUUCGAAUCCUGAAUUGGGCA